rnacentral:sRNA from 1 species
UGAUCCUAAGAGAAAACGGUGGUUUCCUCUUAUUUUUAUGUUUUCUCCACGUAUGUGGAGG